UACGUAGGUGGCAAGCGUUAUCCGGAAUUAUUGGGCGUAAAGCGCGCGUAGGCGGUUUUUUAAGUCUGAUGUGAAAGCCCACGGCUCAACCGUGGAGGGUCAUUGGAAACUGGGAGACUUGAGUGCAGAAGAGGAGAGCGGAAUUCCAUGUGUAGCGGUGAAAUGCGUAGAUAUAUGGAGGAACACCAGUGGCGAAGGCGGCUCUCUGGUCUGUAACUGACGCUGAGGCUCGAAAGCGUGGGGAGCAAACAGGAUUAGAAACCCGCGUAGUCC
rnacentral:rRNA from 1 species